CGUGCGGCUGUUUGUGCACGGCCCGGAGAAGCAUUGUGUCUGAACAGACGGGACGCCAUUUUGAAAGAUGCAGACGAAAACUGCUGCUGAAUGUUUUUUUCUUAAAUAUUGUCCAUGACUUCUUCAGCUUCCUCAAUUUUCCAAGGAGAAUGUUAUCAUGAACGUGGUGGGAGUCCGAGAAAUGACAGUUUUCACCAAUAUUUUCUUGGUACGUUACAAACGGAAAUGCUGUCUGCAUUUUGCCUAUAUUGAUAGCGUCCCCAACAUUCCAUGGUUUUGGACUUCAAACUACAGGAAGCAUCACUGUAGCGGCUGUCUGCAUCUUGCCUAUACUGAUAAUGCCUCCAACAUUCCAUGGUUUUGGACCUCGAACUACACAAAGCAGCACUGUGGCAGGUGAGUUUGUAAUACGUUUGUCAGUGUUAUACCUAUCCACAUUCCAUCAAAGCUAGUCUUUGUUUAAAAUAAUUGGCGGUUGUGUAGGGCCCUGUUCCUUAUAAGGAACACAAAUCAGCUUUUAGGUUAUCAAACUUACCAAACUAGUUUGUGACAUUAGAAACCAACAGGUAUGCCCUAGAUAGAGACCAUGUUUUUUGUUUGAGAUAAUUGUUUGGUUAAAGUGUUGAUAGAAGAUGACAACACGCAAUAAGACAAUAAAAUGGCGAUCACCGCAAAGUACAGUGAGCAUACAAAAGUGUGUUAAUUUGCAUGGUGCUUACUAAACUGUUCAAUAUUACAAAAAACGAUGUCAUGAGAAUGAAGAGAAGUCUGCUUUAGACGGACAAAAGUCAUUUUGGAAUAAUCAAAAACACCUUUGACUUUAAUUUUAUACAAAACUAAAGAGGGGCCUACUACACAAUUGCCAAAAAAAUGGGAAACUCCUGAAGGUUAAAGUAAACAAAAAAUGUUGAGCUGAUUCAAUUGCAUUUUAAAGAGUAAGGUCUCAAUGUUUCAAUGUCUAAAUGGUUUUCAAUGUGUACACCACUGAAAUGUCUCAGUUAUUCCAACAAUGAUGAGCAGUGAUGUAUCAAAACCUCAAAUCCUUGACUUGGAAGGCGCAUAAGAUCAUUUGCUCUUCAUGCACUGCAUUUGUUUCCAAUAAUAACACCACUCAAAAUCCAAAGAAGUAUGUUCAAAACCUAGCCUGCUGAAGUUUCAGCUGAGUGGAGAAUUAUGAGAAUUUUUGUGUGUGGAAAACUCUAAUUACUAUUCACAUUUUCUGGAGAGCCCCCCCCCCCCCCCAUUUGUAUUAUACAGCAGCUGCUUAUAUUUGUAGAUAGCGACAGUAUUGGUUAUCUUCCAUGCAAUGUCUAAUGGUUUGAUGGAGUGUGGAUUGGAUACAGUAUCUUACCCUUAAAAAUAACGGCCGUAAAACCUUCAGAUAUUAAAGGGAAAAUACAACAUUUGCAAACAUCAAAAAAUAAAACUGCCAAAUCAUUUUGAAAUACCUUGCUGGACUGUUAGUGAAUGACAGUGUAAAGCAUUUUGUAAAAU